rnacentral:misc_RNA from 1 species
GUUCGGUGUUUCCAGUGUUCACAAAGGAACUGAAAUAGGUGCCGCCGAAGGAAGUUUUUUUCUUGUGUUUCAAAACAAAGGAAAAAUUUUUUAAAUUUGUAAUUCUCAUCACUGGAUUGUUUGGUGUGUAUUAGUGGAUUAAUUUCCAUCGGAAUGUUCUUGGAUUUUGGCCUGUGGGUUUACAAACCAAGAGGAUCUCUACACUCCAAUGAAUGUAUAGUGAAGCUUGGGAUUUUUAACUAGUCCUUUGCAUUUAUUAAUUGCAACACUUCUACCUCAGAAAUAAGUAGCUCACCUUUUUUUUCCCCCCAUGGAUAAUUUAAGCCAAGGUUUUACUACACACAUUACCAUGUCAUUUCUGUUCGAUAGCACGAUUUUUACCAUCCUGGUUAAAAACUCAACGUGAAAGUUAUUUUUCGAAUUUUUCUGCAAGCUCUAUGUGGAUUAUCCGUACAAAUUCCUUAAUGUGAAUAAUUAGCGUUCCAUUGAAGGAUAUGUAUCCAUUUGAAGUGAAUCAAGAUGAAGAUUUUUAAGUUUCGGCAAUUUUUUUACACCUAGCUUAAAAGAGAAAAUUCAGAAGUGCAUAUAAUAUUUAUGUGCAGUUCCAGUGUCAUUUUGGCGCCGCACCCUCCGUUUUUUACCGCACGCUACGGUGCUCCAAACCAGAGUUAAGCGAAAAGGGGCUCUCGAUGUGGCCACUACGUAUGUGGAACCAGCGACUCAAUACGCCCGGCUGAAAUUGCUCGUCGUUUACCACGAAACAGAGUGGUUCAUCCUCUCUCAUAACCAAACCAUAUAAGAUUGACGACUUCUGUCUCUUCAAUUCAUGAGGCUGAGGUGGAGUUAAAGAAGCGUUUCUGGGAAUGUGCACUCCUUGCUUGUGGUGGCGUGACAACGGAGGCCAAUGAAAGACAACUCGCUGGAUGGCCACCGUGGAAAGGUGGCUCUAUCCGACACCACGAGGAACGCCACACAGCUCUGUUCAACGGCCAGUAACGCAACUAACAGUGGAAUCAAGUGCGAUCUGAAGAGUCCCCCAUCCACGGCCGGUGCUACAACUGCCAACGACGGAAGUGCAGCAACCAAUUUUGAUGAUGAUUAUAACGAAUGGGAAUUGGGCAUCGGAGACUUAAUCAUAGACUUAGACGCAGACAUUGAAAAAACCAACGAACGAAACAGCGGUGGUAGUGGCAAUACACAACAGGGUAUUUCUCCUCAGCAAACUCACGGUCAUCACCAUCAUCAUCAUCAUCACCACCAUCACAACCAUCAUCACAGUCACCACCAAAACGGCACUGCAUCCAGCCCAGGGAGCAGUUCAGUGGGCAAUUCAUCUAUUAUUGAUUCCCCAAACGCGUCCAGCUCUGCGACUGCUUUUAAUUUUCUAGGGUCCCAACCCCCCUGCAACAGUAACUUGGCGGCAGCCAUGUCCAAUACGAAAUCCCCUCGCCUCGCUGGGAAUAGUGCUGUGGGCAGUGGAACUAGUGGAUCCUCAGCAGGAGCUGGAGUGGUGUCAACAUCUGGCAGCAGCAAUAAUAAUGGUGCUAAUGCUUCUGCUUCUGGAACAUUUGAGCAUCAGGCAACUGUAGAUAAAGGUUUGAAAAUGAAAAUUAAACGAAAGACUGUGGGAAAUAAAUAUUCUGAAGCAAAACAUGAAAUCGUGCAAUCGGACACAAAAUCCAAUUCUGGAGCUUCACACCCACUCUCUGAGAGCAUGAAUAAUUCCAACAUUAGCAAUAACUGCACAAAUAGUACUUCUAAUUCAAACUCCCCUGCAGCAAGCUCUGACACUCCUAAAUCAAAACAUUCUUCAAGCAAGGGGAGAAACAGUAGUCAUCGUGAAAAGAAAGAGAAGAACAGGGAUAAAGAUAAAAAUUCAAGUGUUCGCAACAGUACUUCUGCACCAACCAGUGAAAUGAAUGGUGUAAUUGGUGUAAUGUCUCCCUUGAAAAUCACAAACAGUGGAGUGAGCUUGUCAAGCCCAGCACCGCCGUCCUUGUGUUCAAAUUCAUCACCUUUGCCUUCUGGCAACAGCAACAAUUCUGUAGCUUCUCCUGGCAUGCCUCGUAGUGGAACAGGCACAAAUGUUGCCAAUUCCCCUGCUAGUAACUGUGCUCAAGAAACUACACAACCCACAACUGCACUAAUUAAUUUGCCAAGUCAGGGUAUUUCUUCCUCUAGUUCUCCCCCAAUGCCGAACUUAACUUUGAAGCUGGAAAAUAAAUUUGCACCUAGUCCCAUCUCUCAGUCAUCUGCUGUUCCAGCUGUCAUAAUCAAACAGGAGGAUAGACCUUGUUCUCCACCUCUGAAGAAAAUAAAGCUUGAAAAUUCGGACAAAAUUGCAGAGGAUGAAUCUCCAGGAUCUCCUAUUCCUCCAGAGAUGAAAGAUACCAGUACUUGUACAUCAGUGGGUACUAUCACCGAGCCUGAUUGUUUAGGUCCAUGUGAACCUGGAACAAGUGUUAUGUUAGAGGGCAUUGUUUGGCAAGAAACAGAAGGAGGAGUGCUGGUUGUCAACGUGACAUGGCGUGGCAAAACAUAUGUUGGCACUCUCUUGGACUGCACAAAGCAUGAUUGGGCUCCUCCUAGAUUCUGUGAAUCUCCUACUAGUGAUGUAGAUUCUAAAACGUCUAAAGGACGUGGAAAAAGAGGACGAGGAGGCAAUAAUAGUUCUAGUGACAUGAAUUCAUUUGCUGAUGCUCGGAACUGUGUACAAAGUAAAUUGCGCAAUGGUAAAGGAAGGCGUACUACAAUAAAUAGUAAUGCAUCGAGUUCAGGAUUCACUGUACCAAACAGCCCUGCAAAAAGUGAAGGUGGUGGAUCGAAUAAUAAAAGAAAAGGUAGACCAGCUGAUUUAGAAAUCAGCACACCACCUGUGGACAGCAAAUCUUCCAAAAGAAGUCGGACUCAAAAUCGUACGAUGCCUACCUCUUCUGCCCCUGCAGAAUUUCCCCAACCGUCCUCUCCAGUGUUGAUUGUUUGUCCAGAACCUAAUUGUAGCAAAAAGUACAAACAUAUCAAUGGUCUUCGGUAUCACCAAACACAUGCACAUAGUGCAUCGGACAGUAGUAAAAUGGACGAUACUACAACAGAGGAUAGUAAAGAUGUUACCAAUAGCUCUGAUAAUGAAGAGAGCCUCCAAGAAAGUGCUAGUGUGUCUACAAGUCCUGCACCCACUUUUGCAAAUACUGUUCCUGCACAUCCUGAUAGUGGUAAAAUGCUACUUAACGAAACUGCUUCGUCUUCCUCAAGUGUGAAUGGUCUUCCUGAUAGUGAUCCCUACAGUUUAACUACAGAUUUGUCAACAUUAGCUUCCGUUGCUAUUAGUGAUUCAAAAUCUGGUCAGAAAAUUAAUAAUUCAUCAAGACCUGUUCCAGUUGCUCUGCAUUCUGCAGUUUCUCAGGACUUAUCAGUAGGUAGUUCAGAUGGAGAUAAUAUCACUCCAACAUCUGUAUUACCUGUCCCAAUGUCUAAUUCCUCACCACCUUCUGUGUCUGUUUCUUCUCCAGCGUUACCUGCGGCUACUACAUCACCUUCUAGUGGUGUAAGUUUAUCUACAGCUAUAUCAGCUGUGACAACUUCUGUGAUUCAAUCUUCCAGCACUGUAGAUAAUUCUCCUGUUUCACAACCUGUAACUGUGAGCAUUCCAUCAUCUCAUGUCAUCUUCAAUCAGGGUAUUUCUGGAUCUAAUAUUACUACUGCCUCUACUUAUACAACAUCAACUGUUGUAUGUAAUAAUUCUAAUCCACUUUCUCCAUCGAGAAGUAAUUUAUCUUCAGCCAGUGUUACUUCCACAUUUGCUUCAAUAUCUUCAAUUGCUAGUACAACUGUAUCAAGUCCUUCUGCAAUACUUCCAGUGAUUGAUAAAAGUAAAAUUAAGCAGGAGAAGCCUGAUAAAUAUAAGCCUAAAUCUCCCUUAGCAACGCCAUCAAUUAGGCCAAUAGUACCUGCUCCUACACAAUUAAUUGCUCUUUCUGCAAAUAUACCUACUGUUCAUCCUGGUAUUGGUAUGAAUACUCAUAGUGUUGUGAAUUCACAGUUAAAACCCAUACAGCCUAAACCAACCAUACUUGGAGAACCUUCAACUGUUAACCCAGCUCUUGAAAGCUUGAAGAAAGAGAAAAGCAAGCAUAAAAAGAAAAGUAAGGAUAAGGAUAAAGAAAGGGAAAAGAAAAUUCCUUCCCUUCCUCUUACUCCUACAAAGUUAGGAAUGAAUCCUAACGAGGAAUGUGAAGCUAUGGAACUGACCUCAUAUCCUAGUUUAGAGGCUGUUUCUGGAUCUUCUGGUCCACUUCCUGGAGCUCCUCAUUCUACUCUGUCUCCUCUUGUCUCUCAGCCUAAACCUCCAGAAUCUUCCAUGGAUAUGAGUUUGCCUGAUGACAGUAUGAAUGAAAAUAUUCAAAGUCCUGCUUAUUCGGACAUAUCAGAUGCUAAUGAUACAGCACCUGUCUUAGAGUCAGAGGUACCAUCAGGCAAAGAGAAAGAAGAUAAAGUUGGCAAGACAACACCUGAUGCAUCACAGUCUCCAGCUGCAAACGUUAGUGCAUAUGGAAUGUAUCCAUAUUAUAGUCACCCGCCUUAUCUUAUACCCUCAGUGUCUCCACAAAGUGCGGUGUCUGGAUCACAAGGUCCAAACAUAGUUGAAAAGAGUGACUUAACUAAAAAGAGUGAUCAAGACCGUGUUAAAGAAAGCAGACCGUGGAGUAAUCCAAGUAUUGAAUCUAGAGAGCGGCAGCACAUAGAUCACCAUGAGUCAGAUAAAAAAGCAUCACGAGAUGAAAAUGCCCAGAAUUCCAACUCUGUUUCAUCUCCAGCUUUAACAGGUGGUCCUAUGGCAGAAUAUCCCAUUCAGCAACAUUAUUCUUAUCCUUAUGGUUAUCCGCAAACUUACCCUUAUCCAAUGGAGCCAGCAUAUCAUAUGCAUCUUUUAGAAUCAGACCCACACUAUAAGCAACAGUAUAAACAAUACGUUGAAGAACAGCAGCGAGCGUACAAAGAACAGCAGCAUCAUCAUCAGCAACAGCAGUUACAACAGCAGCUGCAACAGCAAGCACAGCAUCAUUCUCAUCAGCCUCAUCACCAUUCACAUCAAUCUCAUCAUCAAAACAAAUCUCAGCAUCAUUCAUCUGCAAAGGAAGACAGAGACAGAGGACGAGAAAGUAAAGAGAGAAGUGGAAAUCUUGACAAACUGUCUACUAAUAAUUUAAUUGUGGAACAUUCAAGUAAAAUUCAGCAUUCCUCUAUUUCUUUGGUGUCGAAUAAAGAUCACGAUGUUCGUGAAAUUGAAACGCGACCACCAUCUUUACCUGCACAGGCAAGGAGUGAUUCCUCUACAUCUUCUGCAUCAGCUGCUGCUUUGAAAGAAAAGCAAAACGAAAAUCAUCAAAUUUUAAAAGAGAAUAUUGAGUUGAAGUCUCAAAUGGAUGAUAGUAAAAACAAAAUAAAUCAGUAUGAAAUGGCUAUGCUCUAUGAAAGACACAAAGAAGAUAUGAGACGUUAUUAUACUAUGUAUCAGGAUCGGACUCUAGAGCAGCACCACCAAAAACUGGAACCAGGUAUUCAUCACCAUACGCAUCACCAUCAAACCAUUCAGUCACAUGGUCAUAUACAAACUGCAUCUGCAUCAUAUUCGUCGUCAUCUGUCAAAACUCAUAAAGAAGAAAUAUCUAGUUCCAUUCCCAGUCAUGCAAAAUCGAGUCAUUAUGGAGAUAACACAAGGUCAUCUGUUGUUUCUCCAGCAAAAUCUGAUCAUAUUAAAAAUUCCCAUUCAAACUCAACUUCUAGUCCUAAAGGUAGUAUUCGAGAUACUGCAUUAAGUUCUAAGGAAUAUUUAAGUUCUGCCUCAAGCAGGGAGAGUAGUACAUCAAGUAAAAAAGAUGUACAAAACAAAAGUUCUGAGAGAUCAGAAAGCUCCGUGCGAGAGGAGAAAAAAAGUGAUAAAAAUAAAGUUGAAACGAAAGUUGAGCCUGAAGGUCAAAAACCCACAAUGGAAACUACGGGACCUCCACCACCACCUACAAACUCUUAUGCUUAUCUUCAUCCACCUUAUCAUAUACAGCCACCCCCUCCUCAUUUUUCACAUAUGCCUUUUGAGCCAACCCAUGCUAUGUAUCGUGGUGGAAUAAAUCCAAUGAUUGUGUCAGCUCCACAUUAUGGUAAUUCUCCAUAUGUUCAUCCUCAGUUAAGGUAUGUGACACCUGGAACUUGUGAACUACCCUCUCAUUCUCAACCUCCAGACUCUAUGAGUAACAAAUUACAUCCAGCUGGGGCACCAAAAGCCUUGGACUUAUUGCACCAAGUUUCGCAACACUAUACAACUACUCAUAAAAUUCAUGAACUACAGGAGCAUGCAUUAAUGUCUCCCACUCCUACAUCCACGCCUUCAUCUACUCCAUCUACAGCAUCCAGUUCCAGCAAUGGAAAAUCAACUUCAGCUGAACCUGUUGUCACUGUUGCUAAAAUGGAAGUUGGGGGCUCACGAGAUGCUUCUCGAUCCCCACCUACACAGCGGCAUCUGCAUACCCAUCAUCAUACCCAUGUAGGAGUUGGAUACCCUAUAUACGACCCUUAUGGAGGCAAGGAGAGUAAAUGACACAUCAUACUUUUUUCUGUAAAUAACUGCAGGCAUGCAUUUUUGAAUUUGCAGAGAGUUAAAACAAUAUAUAUCUUUCAGUUUAAGAAGAAGGCUGAUGAAAGAGUUGCUGCCCAAAAAUCAUAUACCUGAAAGAAACGAGUUCAUAGUUUUGUUCAAGGUAUAUUGAUGCAAAUAUCAAGAUAUUGUCAGUGAACAUUAGGUUUACUGGAUAAUUAUAAUCUCCUGCCUGUAACAUUAUAGUUGAUUUGUUUGAAGGACUAAUUUUUGAUUUUCAAAAAUGGACUGAGUGCUGUAACUGCACCAUAUUCCCACCCACCCCCCAAAAAUACACCAAGAACUUAACCCAUUUGUGAUUGAAGAAGGAGAAAGAAUUGUUUCUGACGUUCCAAACAAAGCAUUGAAUGUUUGAUUUUUGAACUUCAUGUUGACUUGUCGUUUUUUGGCCUGUGAUACUAUAGACUUGUAAGCAUGGCUGCUGUGCUCAUUUCAGAAGUCAAAGGCAAAUGCUAGUCAUUGAUGGCAUGCAAAGGACAUCAGAAUGAUGUUUCUGAAUUUCUGGAUAUGUUAAAGGCUUGACUGUCGGCAAUAGAGCCGGCUGAUUAUUUCGCUGAUUAAUUUGUCUGUUAAAAAUGUCUUCACUCUGCUUUAUGUAUAUUAUGUGUAAAAAAAGCUAACCAAAAAGAGCAAUAAAUAAGUAAUUACAAAUGCUUA